rnacentral:lncRNA from 1 species
CCCGGGGCCACCGCCUCCUGCGUCCCGUGCGCUGCGCGCCUCGGGGACCAGUCGCCUAACUUCUUCCCGGGACGGAGAUAGCGCUCGCGCCGGUGGCCGAGGAGGUGGGAGCUCGCUCGCUGGGCUGGGUAGGACGAGGGCGAAUCGCUCCCGGCGGCGGCGGCGGCGGCGGCGGCGGCGGCGGUGAGGGAACAAGUCCGAAGAAGUUAAUUGCAGGGCAAGGAGCCCCCACCCAGGACCCAGCAGGACCCCGCGGGCGCGGGGGUAGACGCCCCGCCUUGGGCGGAGGUCCUCCCCUCCAGUUUUCUCGGCCCUGGUGGGACCCUUUGUCCCACAAGUUUCCCGCUGGACCUAUGGCUCCAGCAGGUCAAGAUCCAGAGCAGAAGGUGGAGAGCACUUGAAUGGAGCCCCCUGUCUCUCUCCCAGCCUGGUGAUUGCUGUCGGAGCAGGGAUGUUGGGGCUGCACAGCACAGGAACUCGACACCUGGAGGAAAGCCAGCCUGGUCCCAGCUCUUCUCAGCCUCCAGGCACUGCCCCUCACCACUCUGGGUAGGGGUCUGUUCAGGAUUCCAGAACAUUGGACAAGGUGCUCAGGCCCAUCUGGCUUCCACAGCAGCUUGUGCAGGUGAGGACAGAUCCAAGGUCCAGGCCUUUGGAAGCCAGGCCCAGGCUUGGCAACUUUUACUCCAUCCCUCUCUUCUCCCUCUC